rnacentral:lncRNA from 1 species
AUGUGGAGUAGGAUCUAUAGACGUAUCAGAUUCCGAGUCGUAUAGUUGAUCCUAUUAUCCACAACCACAAGCAGCUUAUGACCCAUACGGAUACGGAUAUGGAUAUAGUGCGUCUGAGGCAUCUUUCAAUGGCUACUACUCUACGCAAUCCGAAGUAUCUUAUGGAUCGAAUUUUGCUGCCGGUUUAUUCGAAUGGACUUUUUCACAGCCAGUUUAUCAGCCAGAAGACAUCUUUCAAAACUAGAGCUUCAGCGAGAGAUUCGAGAGUGCUUAUAAUCCGAAGCGCGUUCCUUAUGGGAUAAACAUACAAAACUAUAACACCGCUUGGUUAAAAGGAUGGGUAAUGUGCCUCCUGACUAUGCUCAUGAUCUGGAUAUCUACGAAAGGCAUCGCCACUCGACAAGAUUUUAGAUAUCGGUAUAUAUGUUGUACUUUAAAUAUAUAUAAUUGAUUGUAUUAUUUUAUAUUUUUUACCUUACUACUUGAUUUGAAGAUUUCAUAUUGCUUCUUGUAGAAUGCAACAUCCCACUAAUUAUUUUAUGAUUUGUAUCAUUUUAGAAUAAUAAGAUGCAAUAUUUAGAUUAAAUCGAGAUCAUAACAUCAAAAAAACAUCAAAUUAGACUUAAAAUUAUUGAAAAAAUUCAAAAAGAUUGAUUUCCAAUUAAAUCAACUUAAAAAACUCCAUAAAAUUGGAUGUGUCGGUACGGAACCAGCACGCCCAAGUAAACCGUGUUUCCAGUACUGUACCGAUCCGUCCGCCGAUCGAUACGAGUCUCGGUACCGGUUCGGCGGACCUUGCUAGUCAUGAUCAUAAAUGUUUUACGAAAAAUAUAUUGAUAGAAUUGCAUGAGCAAAUUUUGUUUUUAUUUACAAAAUAUCUAUUUGGUUAAGGGCAAGGAAAAUAAAAGGUAUGAGAUUUUCAAAGACAGGAGAAUUCAUAAAUUCUACUGGACGAACAAAAGAUUCUUCAUUUAGAAACACUAAUCAUGUGAAGAAUUAGUGCCAAAUAGGUCGCCAAAGUUAAUACCUCAGCAAGAUAGAAGUAUCCACAUCACAAAGGCAGUAAACAUGACAAAUUUGCUGUUUGAAAUCCUGAUUUGAGGUAGAUAGGAAGAAACUUGUUUGUCUUGAAGUAUCCACCUACUUAACUGAAACAAAUAAGCAGUAUAUCAGUAAAAAUAAUAAUCUUAAAAAUGACAAACUAACUAAAGCUAUAGCAAAUUGUGAUUUCAUAUGAAUCAGCAAGAAGGAAUUGGAGUGCCCAUAGAUCAGGAGAGUUUGACCAUUGAAAACAUGUCAUUAGAGUUUAAAUUUUAGAGUCAUUUAUCUAAGUGAAACCAUAAAGCUGAACAGCCCAGGUACGUAAUUUCAAGAAUUCAUGACAAGUUUUACUAUUUCAAGGCAACAGAAAAGAUAAAGAAAAUGAAAUAAUACAAAUACACAUGUAACAAAUUCAUGUAAGGGAGAGCCCAUAUUAGGAUGGCAUAUAUGUCUAACUAGUAUCAGACACGUGCAAUGCAUGUUACUUUGAAGGGAAAAGAAAUACAGUGAAAAUAUUGGGCAUUGUGAGAUUAGUGAAAAUGUUAAGCAUUGUGAGAUGUUUGGAACUGUUCACUUGUUGUGAAGAAUUGUGUGGCAGUUGGUAAUUAUCACAAAAAGGGAGUCAAAAAGGAAAGGAAGCCCACCUCUGGUGAUGUAGGACAGUCUAUUAUGGUGGUCAACAGGGACAAGAAAAGCAAGGCUGAAACUCGUAGGUUGCAGGAAUUUUAGGUUAAAUCCUGAGUUUACAAUAAAACUAAACAAGAAAGGUAAUAUUUUUGUAGAAAAUAGGCAAAGGAUGGCCAUUAUAUAACCAAGGGUUUAGGAUUCCAGAGUUUAAAUUGAGAUUUUAAGGAUUUAUACAAUUAAAUAACUGAAGUCAAGAGCCAGCUGGAAUUUCUCUGGAAAAAGUAUGUAUACAUGAAAGAUAUAGGAAAGUAAAUGUUUUUUUAUCAAAGAAGAUUAGAAGAAAGAAAUGUUUUUGAUCAAAGAAGAUUAGAAGAAAGACAAGUAGCAACUAGAAUUAAAAAAAUUAAUGAAGAAAAAUAAAGAAAAGAAAGAGGAAGGAUAAUACCAAAUGUGGUCUGGAGACUAGGAAUAACACCAAAGGUUGCAGGCCUCACACUUCAUCUACAGCAUCACACCCCAUCUACGGCAUUACACCUCAAUAGAAAAGACUCAUCUUUUUUUUCCUCAUAAAACCAGAUUACAACCCAUCUCUAUUUAAAGAGAAAGAAAUCCUAACAAAACUUCCAAACUCCUUAAAAUACCCAUCAUAAAGGGCCAGCUACUGUUCACAGUUACUGUAUCACGAAUAGUGCUGUGAAGGGUGAUUGUUAGGGUAAUUGGGCCCAUCAAGACAUUAAAUAAGAUCUCUAAGAUCUUUUAAUAUUAGCACUCUAUUCCAAAAUAACCAACUAAUACUAAAGAUAACCAGAAAUAAAAUAAAAAUACAGAAACUAAUAAUAAUAAUAAUAAAAUCUAAUAAAAGUCCCUAAAGUGCAGCAUUUGAUGCAUCAUGGCAUGAUCUUGGUUCUCCAUUGGUUUUGCUGCACAAGAACUUGCCUCGAGUUCUUUUAAGUCAAUGUUGGGACUGAUCUAGUUGAUUCCUCGUUGCAAUGAUAAUUGGUGAUCGAUGAUUACAAUCAUAUCUGAAAUUUGUUAAGUUUUGGACUUAUGCAUCUUCUGAUCUUUUUGAAGUUAGAAGCAACAAAGCAUACAUCUUACUGCUGAAAAUUUUCUAUUCAUCAAACCUUCAUGAUCAUUUUCAAUAGCAUUAUCUUUAAAUAAUUCUUUAGAUUCUACAAACUCAGUAUAAGCAAUCUUAUUAUAUUUAUAACUUUCACAAAUCCGCUCUUGAGUGGAAAUUCUCAUAGAUUUUCAAUGGGUCAGGUGACAUGUCAACCAAGGCCGUUAGAUGUUCCCAGACAAUUUCAGAAUAUUGAUGAUUUCUUUCUAUAGUGGUCUUGAUUGCAACAAAUUCAAUGUGAGUUUCUUUGAAUUGUGGGAUCAUCUCCUCUUUUUGCUCUUCUUUCACUUCUUUAACCAUAAUGCUCUCUUGUUUUCCACAGCCUAACUUUCACAUUGAGAAAAUUUAUUUGAUGAAAUUGAUACUGUCUCCUCCUUCAUGUCUUCUUCAAGGGCUUCAUGAAGUCCUCAAGCUUUUGGUGCUUUAAUGCUUUGCAUAUGAUGUAUAGCUGCAAAUCUCCUGGCUAGAAAUUCUCCUGAUUCAGUCCAUUUUACAAUUCCACACUAUGGUAAUCAAAGGCUUGUAGGUAGUGCGAAACUGCAUCCAAUUUGUUCUACAUGAAGUGUCAAGGACCACCAUCACCUUAAUACCAUGACCAUUGUUGAUGAGGGUACAUGGUGGGUAACCUAAGCAAUGAUACCAAUACCAUAAUGAUGUAAGACAAUCUAUGAUAGGCAUCAAUAGGGUCCAGGAAAGCAAGGUUAAACCUUAUGGGUUGCCAGAAUUUUAGGUUCAAACCUGAGUUUUCAAUAAAACUAAACUAGAAGGGUAAUUUUUUUGAAAAAGUAGGUAAUAGAUGGUUAUAAUCUAACAUAGGGUUUAGAAUUCUAGGCUUUAAAUUGAGAUUUUAAGGGUUCAUACAAUUAAAUAAUGGAAAUCAAAAGCUUGCUGGAAUUUUUCUGAAAAAUUUUGAUAUCUAUACCACAUGAAAGAUCUAGGGAAAAUAAAAGUAUAUGUUUUAUCAAAGAAGAUUUGAAGAAGGCAUGUAGUGACUAGAAAAAAAAAAGAAAAAAAUUAAGAAAAAAAGAAGAAAGAGGGGGAAUAACACCGGACUCACUUAAGAACCUAGGAAUCGCACCUAGGGUUGAAAGCCUCAUACUUGUUCUACCACAUAACACCAUAGGAGAAAAGAAAACUCUCAACUUUCGUUCAUCUUUUUCUGCAAAACAAACCUGAUUACAAACGCAACUCUCUAUUUAAAGAGACAAACAUUAAUAAAACUUUCAAACUCCCUAAAUUACCCUUGAUAAAAGGCCAGUUACUGUAGCAUGAAUGAUGCCAUGAACAGUAAUUGUUAUAGUAAUUGGGCUCAUCAAGACAUCAAAUAAGAUCUAAGAUCUUUUUAAUCACAAAUUCUCAACCCUCAUUUCCAAAAUAACCCAAUAAUACUAAACAUAAUCAGGAAAAAACUAAAAGUACAGAAAACAAAUAACAAAAAUUAAAUCUAAUAAAAACCUCGAAGCUGCAACACUUGAUAUAUCAAGGCACAAUCUUGGUUCUCCAUCAUCUAGGAGUUCCCAGUAUAAUAGUAGAUAUUGCAAGUGAUAAUCAUUUGCUCUCGAAAACAAUAAGAUAAAUUUUAGAAAGCAUUAUCAACUUCAGUACUCUAAAACUCAAAAAAAAUAUUUUACCAAAAAAAAGUACUGCUGAAAGAUAAGUCAAUGCAAAUACUUGACCUUAAAAACUCUCCAAGUGGUGCAAAGCCAUCUGAACAAGGACCCCUCAAGAUGCACUCACAUUUCUUUUCCCAUGACAGGAUUUGGAGCAACAUUACAUGGACAAACAAAUAUUUGUGGCACAUCUUGCUUGAAUGUAUGAAGAUACACUAAAUGAGAGCUAAUCAAAUCCAUAUGGACCAGACAAAUAUUCUAGUCAACCAACAAAAAAACCAUCCAGCAUCCUUUAUUUCUCCUCUGUUAGUAAGAUUUGACCUCAGAUAUCUGAAGCAUAAAGAAACAAAAAGCAAUAGAUAAUAGUACUAGAUUCAAAAGAUACCUGAAGCUACAUUUCUGCAAGUAGAUGUUCCAUCAUCUACCAAGGCCUUGGGCUGGGA